GAAAGAUUUAGUUAAAUCAAAUAACAUUAAUUUGUCAAGUUAAAAUUAUUAUUAAAAAUAAUCUUU
rnacentral:tRNA from 1 species